UCUUUUAUGAGGUUAUGCAUGAGGAUAAGGCUACUGUACAAGUCGAAGUCCAAUAACUACACGGAAUCAUGAUGAUAAAUGAGG
rfam:Catonella morbi ATCC 51271 genomic scaffold Scfld1, whole genome shotgun sequence.